UGGUGGAGCGAUUUGUCUGGUUAAUUCCGUUAACGAACGAGACCUCAGCCUGCUAGCUAGCUAUGCGGAGGUAUCCCUCCGCGGCCAGCUUCUUAGAGGGACUACGGCCUUUUAGGCCGCGGAAGUUUGAGGCAAUAACA
rnacentral:rRNA from 1 species